rnacentral:rRNA from 1 species
CGGGUAAAGCCGGGCACUCUAAGGGGACUGCCAGCGACAAGUUGGAGGAAGGAGAGGAUGACGUCAAGUCAUCAUGGCCUUUAUGCCUAGGGCCACACACGUGCAACAAUGGCCGGUACAGACGGAGGCAAUGCCGAGAGGCGGAGCAAACCCGAGAAAACCGGUCCCAGUUCGGAUUGAGGUCUGCAACUCGACCUCAUGAAGUCGGAAUCGCUAGUAAUCGCAUAUCAGAACGAUGCGGUGAAUACGUUCCCGGGCCUUGUACACACCGCCCGUCACACCACGAAAGUUUGUUGUACCCGAAGUCGGUGCCUUAACCUCGCAAGAGGAGAGAGCCGCCCAAGGUAUGGCCGAUGAUUGGGGUGAAGUCGUAACAAGGUAGCCGUAGGGGAACCUGCGGCUGGAUCACCUCCUUUCUAGGAGAGAAGGGUCCUGGAUGAAGCGCUCCUAUUUAGUCUUGUGAAGGAUCCGAGUGGAAGCCGGGA